UUAUUCCUUCAACUGGAUGGUGGGCACAUGAAUGUUUAUCAUAGUACUUACUCUUUAUGCAUUUUCAUAUGUCUCAACACUUCUUAAUAAAUUUGAACCCCAAUGUGCUUUAAUUAUAAAGACUCUGAAUUACCCAAGUUAAUGAUGUAUGCAAGUGGAUGCAUUACUGCGAGGCUGUGUGUAAAUCGAUUUAUAAUCCAUUUUUAAAAUGCAACAAGCAAUAUGUUUUUCAAAAGGAUAUCAGUAGUAAUUUUCUCAUUCAACAUUCAUUCCUAGGUUCCUUGAGUGUGAAAAUUACUUAUUGAAUGAAAGCACAUUUGAUAAACAUUAACUGAAUGCUGAAUAUGUGGGCUCUGGUAUAAAGUCAACAUCCAUCACCUGGAUUAGUGCAGCAGUUUGCUCAGUAUCUGAGAAACUUAUUAAAUUCAAAGAAUAUUCAAAAAUGAAAAACAAAAGACUUAAACAUAAGACAAGACACCAUCAAACUAGAAGAGAACAUAGGCAAAACUUUCUCUGACAUCAACCAUACAGAUGUUUUCUCGGGUCAGUGUCCUGAGGCAACAGAGGAACUCGGGUCAGUCUCCUGAGGCAACAGAAA